GGCCCGGUAGCUCAGCCGGAUAGAGCAGGGCUUUCCUAAAGCCAAGGUCGUACGUUCGAAUCGUAUCGGGGGCGC
rnacentral:tRNA from 1 species